UACGUAGGCAGCGAGCGUUGUUCGGAGUUACUGGGCGUAAAGGGCGCGUAGGCGGCCUGUUAAGUCGAACGUGAAAUCCCCGGGCUCAACCCGGGAACUGCGUCCGAUACUGGCAGGCUUGAAUCCGGGAGAGGGAUGCGGAAUUCCAGGUGUAGCGGUGAAAUGCGUAGAUAUCUGGAGGAACACCGGUGGCGAAGGCGGCAUCCUGGACCGGCAUUGACGCUGAGGCGCGAAAGCCAGGGGAGCAAACGGG
rnacentral:rRNA from 1 species